UCCCUGUUGCCAGGGCAGUCUAGCUAGAAAAAUUCAACUAACUAUAAGGGUUGCGCUCGUUGAUGGACUUAACCAAACAUCUCACGACACGAGCUGACGACGGCCAUGCAACACCUGUCACUUGGUUCCGAAGCACUCUCUUCUUUCGAAGAAAUUCCAAGGAUGUCAAGCCUGGGUAAGGUUCUUCGCUUAUCAUCGAAUUAAACAACACGCUCCACCGCUUGUGCGGGUCCCCGUCAAUUCCUUUAUGUUUUAAGCUUGCGCUCGUACUCCACAGGCGGGAUGCUUAACGCGUUAGCUUCGCUACUAGAGGGGUCGAUACCUCUAACAGCUAGCAUCCAUAGUUUACGGCGUGGACUAC
rnacentral:misc_RNA from 1 species